UUUAUUGUAUUAUGAUUAAGAAUUAAGAUUGUAUACCCUGGAUCACAGCCAAAUAAUACUGCUGUCAAAUAUUUUUUUUUUGAUCCCUCUGGUAAGUUUAUUAGCUAGAACUUAAGUUGUGUCGAUAGCAAGAAGCUUAUAUGAAACAGCUUCUUGGUCCAUAGUGAUUACUUGAUUAGUGACGCUUCGAUUGCCAAGAAGUGUUGCUCAUCGGCGAGUGAGAGGACGACGGGCGGGAAAACCGCGCCUAGCUUCAUACUAUUCGUUUCUUUGUUUUAAAACUUAAAUUGUAACGUUCAUUAUUAAUAAAUUAUUAUGUUGUCAGAAAAUACACGAUUAAGUACCUUAUUAUACGAGUCGUCUUUGAAAGUCAAAGAUCACGGUGAAUAAUCCCCUUUGCGUGCAUUUUUUCUAAAGCCAAUAAUAGUUCUGCAGCAUAAAAUUUAGCAACGUUUAACUCGAAAGAGCCUACUUUGUUAAUAUAAUGCAAAAGUUCGCCAUUUUUUGCGUAAGACAAUACGAAAUACAACCUUUCUUCAUCUUGAAACGUGCAAUAAAGUUUCACAAACCCGUGCGGAACAUUAAAAAGCAUAUUUAGGGCAUCUUUUUCCCGUUUUAUAUACUGAACUUUUUGAUGACGCACGAUGUGACUUUUUUCACAAACUUUAACUGUAAACAAAAAAAUAAGGUUAUUUAUGUGAAUUUAUAAACAAUAACAUUCUAUUUUUGUUAAUUCAUUUAACCCAUUUUCUAUGUAAAAUUAGAAAAUAUUUAUCAAUAAAAAUUAAUAAAAGAA